rnacentral:rRNA from 1 species
CGUGUAGGCGGUCUUAUAAGUUGGAUGUGAAAGCUCCUGGCUCAACUAGGAGAGGACGUUCAAUACUGUGAGACUAGAGGACGGCAGAGGAAGGUGGAAUUCCCGGUGUAGUGGUGAAAUGCGUAGAUAUCGGGAGGAACACCAGAGGCGAAGGCGGCCUUCUGGGCCGAUCCUGACGCUCAGACGCGAAAGCUAGGGGAGCAAACG